UACAGUCAUAUCAUGUUGAAACACCGGUUCUCAUACGAUCAUCGAAGUUAAGCAACGUCGAACUUGUUCAGUACCUAGAUGGGUGACCGCUUUGGGAUACCAGGUGCUGUAC